GGACGCUCACAAGGGUUUCGGCCGCAAGGGAGUGGCGGACGGGUGAGUAGCGCGUGGGAACCUGCCCCUUUGUGGGGGAUAACCGAGGGAAACUUCGGCUAAUACCGCAUGCGCCCCCGGAGUUGAUCCGGGGGGAAAGAUUUAUCGCAGAGGGAGGGGCCCGCGUCGGAUUAGGUAGUUGGUGGGGUAACGGCCUACCAAGCCUUUGAUCCGUAGCUGGUCUGAGAGGAUGAUCAGCCACACUGGGACUGAGACACGGCCCAGACUCCUACGGGAGGCAGCAGUGGGGAAUAUUGGACAAUGGGCGCAAGCCUGAUCCAGCAAUGCCGCGUGAGUGAUGAAGGCCUUAGGGUUGUAAAGCUCUUUCGCCCGCGACGAUGAUGACGGUAGCGGGAGAAGAAGCCCCGGCUAACCUCGUG
rnacentral:rRNA from 1 species